GAUGAACGCUGGCGGCGUGCCUAAUACAUGCAAGUCGAGCGAACGGACGAGAAGCUUGCUUCUCUGAUGUUAGCGGCGGACGGGUGAGUAACACGUGGAUAACCUACCUAUAAGACUGGGAUAACUUCGGGAAACCGUAGCUAAUACCGGAUAAUAUUUUGAACCGCAUGGUUCAAAAGUGAAAGACGGUCUUGCUGUCACUUAUCGAUGGAUCCGCGCUGCAUUAGCUAGUUGGUAAGGUAACGGCUUACCAAGGCAACGAUGCAUAGCCGACCUGAGAGGGUGAGCGGCCACACUGGAACUGAGACACGGUCCAGACUCCUACGGGAGGCAGCAGUAGGGAAUCUUCCGCAAUGGGCGAAAGCCUGACGGAGCAACGCCGCGUGAGUGAUGAAGGUCUUCGGAUCGUAAAACUCUGUUAUUAGGGAAGAACAUAUGUGUAAGUAACUGUGCACAUCUUGACGGUACCCAAUCAGAAAGCCACGGCUAACUACGUG
rnacentral:rRNA from 1 species